GAACGCCCUACGCAAGUAGGAAGUGGCGGACGGGUGAGUAACACGUGGGUAUCUACCUUAAGGUGAGGAAUACCAACGAGAAAUCGUUGACAAUACCGCAUGUGCUUCUUCGGAAGCAAAGCUUCUCGUUUUGAGAGGCGCCUUAAGAUGAGCCUGCGCCUGAUUAUGCUAGUUGGUGGGGUAAAAGCCUACCAAGGUGACGAUCAGUAGCUGGUCUGAGAGGAUGAUCAGCCACACUGGGAUUGAGAACGGCCCAUACUCCUACGGGAGGCAGCAGUGAGGAAUUUUCCGCAAUGGACUAAAGUCCGACGGAGCAACGCCGCGUGCAGGAGGAAGGUCUUCGGAUCGUAAACUGCUUUUACCGGGGAAGAGAAUGGACGGUACCUGGUGAAUAAGUCCCGGCUAACUACGUGCCAGCAGCCGCGGUAAU
rnacentral:rRNA from 1 species